UGGCGAACGGGUGAGUAACGCGUGAGUAACCUGCCCUGGAGUGGGGGGAAACAGUUGGAAACGACUGCUAAUACCGCAUAAGCCCACGAUCCGGCAUCGGAUUGAGGGAAAAGGAUUUAUUCGCUUCAGGAUGGACUCGCGUCCAAUUAGCUAGUUGGUGAGGUAACGGCCCACCAAGGCGACGAUUGGUAGCCGGACUGAGAGGUUGAACGGCCACAUUGGGACUGAGACACGGCCCAG
rnacentral:rRNA from 1 species